UAUUGCAACUGUCCUGCGAAAUGGUUGUUUCUCCAUUCUUCCAGCAACAGAACUGGUGCCAGGGGAUAUUGUAGAAGUUAAUGUGGGAUGCAAGAUUCCAGCUGAUUUGAGAAUGAUUGAGAUGCUAAGUAAUCAAUUACGGGUUGAUCAAGC